GUCGCUUCUUGGCCUUUUGGCUAAGCUCAAGUGUAGUAUCUGUUCUCAUUAGUUUAAUAUCUGAUACAUCCUCUAUCCGAGGACAGUAUAUUGAAUUUUUGGAGCAAGGAGAUGGAAUAGGAGCUUGCUCCAUCCACUUCAUGCAUCGACCUAAUAUUGAAGUACUUCCAGGAAUGGUGCACCCCCU